GCUGGGCAUGGUGGCAUGUGCCUGUAAUCCCAGCUACUCAGGAGGCUGAGGCAGGAGAAUUGCCUGAACCCAGGAGGCGGAGGUUGCGGUGAGCCGAGAUCACGCCAUUGCACUCCAGCCUGGGUAACAAGAAGGAAACUCCAUCUCAAAAAAAAAAAAAGAGAGACAAGUCUUGCUCUGUCGCCAGGCUGGAGUGCAGUGGUACGAUCUCCGCUCACUGCAACCUCCGCUUCCUGGGUUCAAGCAAUUCCCUGCCUCAG
rnacentral:SRP_RNA from 13 species